AGUGAACGCUGGCGGUAGGCCUAACACAUGCAAGUCGAACGGCAGCACAGUAAGAGCUUGCUCUUACGGGUGGCGAGUGGCGGACGGGUGAGGAAUACAUCGGAAUCUACUUUUUCGUGGGGGAUAACGUAGGGAAACUUACGCUAAUACCGCAUACGACCUACGGGUGAAAGCAGGGGAUCUUCGGACCUUGCGCGAUUGAAUGAGCCGAUGUCGGAUUAGCUAGUUGGCGGGGUAAAGGCCCACCAAGGCGACGAUCCGGAGCUGGUCUGAGAGGAUGAUCAGCCACACUGGAACUGAGACACGGUCCAGACUCCUACGGGAGGCAGCAGUGGGGAAUAUUGGACGAUGGGCGCAAGCCUGAUCCAGCCAUACCGCGUGGGUGAAGAAGGCCUUCGGGUUGUAAAGCCCUUUUGUUGGGAAAGAAAAGCAGCAGGUUAAUACCCCGCUGUUCUGACGGUACCCAAAGAAUAAGCACCGGCUAACUUCGUG
rnacentral:rRNA from 1 species